UACGUAGGGGGCAAGCGUUAUCCGGAUUUACUGGGUGUAAAGGGAGCGUAGACGGCUUUGCAAGCCGGAUGUGAAAGCCCGGGGCUCAACCCCGGGACUGCAUUUGGAACUGUGUGGCUAGAGUGUCGGAGAGGCAGGCGGAAUUCCUAGUGUAGCGGUGAAAUGCGUAGAUAUUAGGAGGAACACCAGUGGCGAAGGCGGCCUGCUGGACGAUGACUGACGUUGAGGCUCGAAAGCGUGGGGAGCAAACAGG
rnacentral:rRNA from 1 species